rnacentral:rRNA from 1 species
UACGUAGGGUGCAAGCGUUGUCCGGAAUUAUUGGGCGUAAAGAGCUCGUAGGCGGUCUGUCACGUCGGCUGUGAAAACCCGAGGCUCAACCUCGGGCCUGCAGUCGAUACGGGCAAACUAGAGUACUGCAGGGGAGACUGGGAAUUCCUGGUGUAGCGGUGAAAUGCGCAGAUAUCAGGAGGAACACCGGUGGCGAAGGCGGGGUCUCUGGGCAGUAACUGACGCUGAGGAGCGAAAGCGUGGGGAGCAAACAGG